rnacentral:rRNA from 1 species
UACGUAGGGUGCAAGCGUUAAUCGGAAUUACUGGGCGUAAAGCGUGCGCAGGCGGUUAUGCAAGACAGAUGUGAAAUCCCCCGGGCUCAACCUGGGAACUGCAUUUGUGACUGCAUAGCUGGAGUGCGGCAGAGGGGGAUGGAAUUCCGCGUGUAGCAGUGAAAUGCGUAGAUAUGCGGAGGAACACCGAUGGCGAAGGCAAUCCCCUGGGCCUGCACUGACGCUCAUGCACGAAAGCGUGGGGAGCAAACAGG